GUGCUGGUUAGAUUAGUAGGUUCUGGGGUUUGAUAAUAGGUGGAUGGAGCUGUGCUGGUUAGAUUAGUAGGUUCUGGGGUUUGAUAAUAGGUGGAUGGAGCUGUGCUGGUUAGAUUAGUAGGUUCUGGGGUUUGAUAACAGAUGGAUGGAGCUGUGCUGGUUAGAUUAAUAGGUUCUGGGGUUUGAUAACAGAUGGACGGUGCUGUGCUGGUUAGAUUAGUAGGUUCUGGGGUUUGAUAACAGAUGGAUGGAGUUGUGCUGGUUAGAUUAGUAUGUUCUGGGGUUUGAUAACAGAUGGAUGGAGCUGUGCUGGUUAGAUUAAUAGGUUCUGUGGUUUGAUAACAGAUGGAUGGAGCUGUGCUGGUUAUAUUAAUAGGUUCUGUGGUUUGAUAACAGAUGGAUGGAGCUGUGCUGGUUAGAUUAGUAGGUUCUGUGGUUUGAUAACAGAUGGAUGGAGCUGUGCUGGUUAGAUUAGUAGGUUCUGGGGUUUGAUAACAGAUGGAUGGAGCUGUGCUGGUUAGAUUAGUAGGUUCUGUGGUUUGAUAACAGAUGGAUGGAGCUGUGCUGGUUAGAUUAGUAGGUUCUGUGGUUUGAUAACAGAUGGAUGGAGCUGUGCUGGUUAGAUUAGUAGGUUCUGUGGUUUGAUAACAGAAGGAUGGAGCUGUGCUGGUUAGAUUAGUAGGUUCUGGGGUUUGAUAACAGAUGGAUGGAGCUGGGCUUGUUAGAUUAGUAGGUUCUGGGGUUUGAUAACAGAUGGAUGGAGCUGGGCUUGUUAGAUUAGUAGGUUCUGGGGUUUGAUAACAGAUGGAUGGUGCUGUGCUGGUUAGAUUAGUAGAUUCUGGGGUUUUAUAACAGAUGGAUGGAGCUGUGCUGGUUAGAUUAAUUGGUUCUGUGGUUUGAUAACAGAUGGAUGGGGCUGUGCUGGUUAGAUUUGUAGGUUCUGGGGUUUGAUAACAGAUGGAUGGUGCUGUGCUGGUUUGAUUAGUAGAUUCUGGGG